GGGAAAUUUAUGUUUUUCCCCUGCAGACGUGACAAGCCAGCCAGGAGAUUUCACUAGCUGGGCACUGCUUGGUCCAAAACUGCUGCAGCUAAGAGAACUUGGGAUUUCCGACAAGCCAUGAGAGAAGCCAGGAAUUCUGCUUGCGGGUCUGUUGGAAGCUGCCUUUGGCUGGAUGCAAACCAAAGCUGAGACCACGUUGGAUCGCUCCAUGCAAGAAAGGAUGGACUGUGCAGUAGACUGCCAUACCUUCCAGCACCAAGAACAGUCCUGGGGAACAGCAGAAUGAAAUAAAUGUGUGUUAAGUGAAAA